rnacentral:rRNA from 1 species
GAGUUAACGCAAUAAGUACCCCGCCUGGGGAGUACGACCGCAAGGUUGAAACUCAAAGGAAUUGACGGGGGCCCGCACAAGCGGUGGAGUAUGUGGUUUAAUUCGACGCAACGCGAAGAACCUUACCAGGUCUUGACAUUGAUGGACAGAACUAGAGAUAGUUCCUCUUCUUCGGAAGCCAGAAAACAGGUGGUGCACGGUUGUCGUCAGCUCGUGUCGUGAGAUGUUGGGUUAAGUCCCGCAACGAGCGCAACCCCUAUCUUAUGUUGCCAGCACUUCGGGUGGGAACUCAUGAGAGACUGCCGCAGACAAUGCGGAGGAAGGCGGGGAUGACGUCAAAUCAUCAUGCCCCUUAUGACCUGGGCUACACACGUACUACAAUGGGAGUUAAUAGACGGAAGCGAAACCGCGAGGUGGAGCAAACCCGAGAAACACUCUCUCAGUUCGGAUCGUAGGCUGCAACUCGCCUACGUGAAGUCGGAAUCGCUAGUAAUCGCAGGUCAGCAUACUGCGGUGAAUACGUUCCCGGGCCUUGUACACACCGCCCGUCACACCACGAAAGUCGGAAGUGCCCAAAGCCGGUGGGGUAACCUUCGGGAGCCAGCCGUCUAAGGUAAAGUCGAUGAUUGGGGUGAAGUCGUAACAAGGUAGCCGUAUCGGAAGGUGCGGCUGGAUCACCUCCUUU